AUCCAGCUGACGAAUCCCAAAAUAGGACGAAACGCUUGUUAAACUGAAU
rfam:Schistosoma rodhaini strain Burundi genome assembly, scaffold: SROB_scaffold0002548